rnacentral:rRNA from 1 species
UAAGGUCGGGUGUCUCUUUGGGAUCGGGGGUAGGGUGAGUAUAUGGGGGAGGAGGAGGGUUGCUGGGUAGAGAAGAGGGGCGGCGGCGGCGGAGGGGGAGGAGGAGGAGAAGCGGCGGCGGCGCGGUGGCGGCAGUCGGUACCGUGGCUUCUUCCUCUUCCGGGGCCGCCGCAGCAGCUUCGGCCGGUUCAGCCCGCCGCCGUUCGUCUUCUUCUUCUUCACCUCGUUCCCGUUCGUUUUCCUCUUCCACUUGUUGCGCCACGAGAAGCUGGUCCGGUGGAUGCUGUUCGACGAGUGGCUCCACGGGUUCAUGUUCGUCUAGUGCGGGAGGCAGGAGAGGCUCGCGGAGUCCUAGUUGCCGAGCGAGCGAGCGUCCCGGUAGUUCCUGGACUACCUCUCCCCCGAGUAGUCCUACCACAGUUAGGUGAGGUCGGUCGUCUAGAAGUGGUCCCGGUGUUUGUGGACUAAAUGGAGUACACAACCGACGGACAAAAGAUCAGGUCAUCUGACUCUACAGCGACAAUAUAACUGCAAGUAAUACAAGUCGCUCCGUGAAACCGUGAGCACGGUGUUCAUACAACUUAACGAAAACUCAAAAACCAUGUUAGAUUCUGCGUUACUUUAGAUGGAAUAUAAUAGUCUGACACAAACAUAAACAACGACAGG